rnacentral:misc_RNA from 1 species
AAAAAAAGCUAGGAAGAUGUUUGCCUCUCCAACAUCAUCCUUUACUCAUCAUAGAAGUAACAUAAGCCAAAUAAUGCACGCACUAUCUCUAAACUUGUCAUGGACAGCUGUUCAAACUAUAAAUAAAUACAUGUAUGCCUUGUCUUGUGCACUCUCUAUUUGAUCACAUCGACAAAAACAUCAUCUUCUUCCCCAGGGAAAGCAGUAACAGCUCUUGGAUUUUUCAUUGCCAUACUGCUUGUGUCCAUGUGAUUGAGAAGAUUCAGUUGGUAGGUCUGGCACCUUUGCCGCUCCGCCCUGUUUCUCUUCUCGGACUUUGUUGAAAAUAUGAGUGUACCCAUCAGCUGAUGCAGGGUCGGUCUCAUCCCAUUCGCCAAAUUUUGGAACUGCACUGUGAUCAGGGCUAUCAUUGCCUCUGGUGACUGAUCUCAAUCGGGAUCUUCCAGGAGUCAUGGGAGCCAGGCCGUGAGUACCUUCAGAUGAACCCUUUCUUUCCCAAGACAAAGAAGAUACUGCAUUACCUUUGCCUCCAAUUUUUGGCUGGUUACGUGGGUGUAAAUGCGACUGUUCAGUGCUGAGAUCAGAGGCUGCACUCCACCGCAUAAUCCUUCUGUGGGUAUCACUAGAGCUUACACCACCAUAAUGAUGAAGAUUUGAGUCAGCUGCCACCCUCUGAGCACCGGUAUCAUGGUGCAUUACAGAAUUUGUAGGUCUCCUCAGGCGAUCGCGACCAUGUUCCCCAUGCUCAUGAUUUGCCCUUAAUACUUUUGUAACAUCUCUCUUGCCAACAUCAUCAUGGUGCAAUGAAGAGUCAGUCGAUCUCCUUAAAUCAAUCUCUUCUUGGCUUAAAUGCUCAUGCUUUGACCUCACUGCUUCUGGCACUUUUUGUGCUUCAGUUGGUUUCAUUUGGAAAGAAGAGGCAUGAAUUGGAGGCUUGGUAUUGAAAAUGUCAGGGUUUUCUUCAGAGUAAUUUCGAUUCAUUUUCCCUUCAGUUCUUUCCUUCCUCGCCUUCUCAAAAUAGACCGUGUAUGGGACAUUCUCUUCACUUUCCCAGUUGCCAAACUUGGGCACAGCAGAGCGAUGCUCCAUUGGUCUUCAAAAUAGAUAUGAGAUUGUUUGGAAAAAUGCAGACCCAAAAGAGAAAAGACAAC